UUGGAGGGCAAGUCUGGUGCCAGCAGCCGCGGUAAUUCCAGCUCCAAUAGCGUAUAUUAAAGUUGUUGUGGUUAAAAAGCUCGUAGUUGAACCUUGGGCCUGGCUGGCCGGUCCGCCUCACCGCGUGUACUGGUCCGGCCGGGCCUUUCCCUCUGUGGAACCCCAUGCCCUUCACCGGGUGUGGCGGGGAAACAGGACUUUUACUUUGAAAAAAUUAGAGUGCUCCAGGCAGGCCUAUGCUCGAAUACAUUAGCAUGGAAUAAUAGAAUAGGACGUGUGGUUCUAUUUUGUUGGUUUCUAGGACCGCCGUAAUGAUUAAUAGGGACAGUCGGGGGCAUCAGUAUUCAAUUGUCAGAGGUGAAAUUCUUGGAUUUAUUGAAGACUAACUACUGCGAAAGCAUUUGCCAAGGAUGUUUCCAUUAAUCAGGAACGAAAGUUAGGGGAUCGAAGACGAUCAGAUACCGUCGUAGUCUUAACCAUAAACUAUGCCGACUAGGGAUCGGACGAUGUUAUUUUUUGACUCGUUUGGCACCUUACGGGAAAC
rnacentral:rRNA from 1 species